AAUUCGAUUAGAGUUUGAUCAUGGCUCAGAUUGAACGCUGGCGGCAGGCUUAACACAUGCAAGUCGAGCGGUAGCACAGGGGAGCUUGCUCCCUGGGUGACGAGCGGCGGACGGGUGAGUAAUGUCUGGGAAACUGCCUGAUGGAGGGGGAUAACUACUGGAAACGGUAGCUAAUACCGCAUAACGUCGCAAGACCAAAGAGGGGGACCCUCGGGCCUCUUGCCAUCAGAUGUGCCCAGAUGGGAUUAGCUAGUAGGUGGGGUAAUGGCCCACCUAGGCGACGAUCCCUAGCUGGUCUGAGAGGAUGACCAGCCACACUGGAACUGAGACACGGUCCAGACUCCUACGGGAGGCAGCAGUGGGGAAUAUUGCACAAUGGGCGCAAGCCUGAUGUAGCCAUGCCGCGUGUGUGAAGAAGGCCUUCGGGUUGUAAAGCACUUUCAGCGAGGAGGAAGGUGGUGAGCUUAAUACGCUCAUCAAUUGACGUUACUCGCAGAAGAAGCACCGGCUAACUCCGUGCCAGCAGCCGCGGUAAUACGGAGGGUGCAAGCGUUAAUCGGAAUUACUGGGCGUAAAGCGCACGCAGGCGGUUUGUUAAGUCAGAUGUGAAAUCCCCGGGCUCAACCUGGGAACUGCAUUUGAAACUGGCAAGCUAGAGUCUCGUAGAGGGGGGUAGAAUUCCAGGUGUAGCGGUGAAAUGCGUAGAGAUCUGGAGGAAUACCGGUGGCGAAGGCGGCCCCCCUGGACGAAGACUGACGCUCAGGUGCGAAAGCGUGGGGAGCAAACAGGAUUAGAUACCCCUGGUAGUCCACGCUGUAAACGAUGUCGAUUUGGAGGUUGUGCCCUUGAGGCGUGGCUUCCGGAGCUAACGCGUUAAAUCGACCGCCUGGGGAGUACGGCCGCAAGGUUAAAACUCAAAUGAAUUGACGGGGGCCCGCACAAGCGGUGGAGCAUGUGGUUUAAUUCGAUGCAACGCGAAGAACCUUACCUACUCUUGACAUCCAGAGAACUUUCCAGAGAUGGAUUGGUGCCUUCGGGAACUCUGAGACAGGUGCUGCAUGGCUGUCGUCAGCUCGUGUUGUGAAAUGUUGGGUUAAGUCCCGCAACGAGCGCAACCCUUAUCCUUUGUUGCCAGCGGUUCGGCCGGGAACUCAAAGGAGACUGCCAGUGAUAAACUGGAGGAAGGUGGGGACGACGUCAAGUCAUUAUGGCCCUUACGAGUAGGGCUACACACGUGCUACAAUGGCGUAUACAAAGAGAAGCGACCUCGCGAGAGCAAGCGGACCUCAUAAAGUACGUCGUAGUCCGGAUUGGAGUCUGCAACUCGACUCCAUGAAGUCGGAAUCGCUAGUAAUCGUAGAUCAGAAUGCUACGGUGAAUACGUUCCCGGGCCUUGUAGA
rnacentral:rRNA from 1 species